rnacentral:rRNA from 2 species
GGGCGUUAAGUUGCAGGGUAUAGACCCGAAACCCGGUGAUCUAGCCAUGGGCAGGUUGAAGGUUGGGUAACACUAACUGGAGGACCGAACCGACUAAUGUUGAAAAAUUAGCGGAUGACCUGUGGCUGGGGGUGAAAGGCCAAUCAAACCGGGAGAUAGCUGGUUCUCCCCGAAAGCUAUUUAGGUAGCGCCUCGUGAAUUCAUCUCCGGGGGUAGAGCACUGUUUCGGCCAGGGGGCCAUCCCGGCUUACCAACCCGAUGCAAACUGCGAAUACCGGAGAAUGUUAUCACGGGAGACACACGGCGGGUGCUAACGUCCGUCGUGAAGAGGGAAACAACCCAGACCGCCAGCUAAGGUCCCAAAGUCAUGGUUAAGUGGGAAACGAUGUGGGAAGGCCCAGACAGCCAGGAUGUUGGCUUAGAAGCAGCCAUCAUUUAAAGAAAGCGUAAUAGCUCACUGGUCGAGUCGGCCUGCGCGGAAGAUGUAACGGGGCUAAACCAUGCACCGAAGCUGCGGCAGCGA